rnacentral:lncRNA from 1 species
AACCAUGUCACCAACAGCCGAUCCAUCAUCACCGCCUCCGGAAGAAGAAUCCGAAACCGUGUCGCCAACAGCCGAUCCAUCAUCACCAGCUGCGGAAGAUGAAUCCAAAACCAUGGGAUCACCACCUCCGGAAGAAGAAUCCAAAACCCUGUCGUCACCACCUCCGGAAGAAGAAUCCCAAACCAAGUCACUACCACCGCAGCAAACUCUCAGACCACCCACCGCCGCCGCCUCAUUCCUCUUCCCCGAAACCCA